UCAUCCAAUCUUUGUUGCUUUUUAUGGCCUUCCUAACCUACUUCAGGAAAGGUAGGGGAGUCAUCUCAAGUUGAUCAUACAUUAACAAUCACCUCCACCGCCAUUACUAAUAACCCGUUGGAAGGUAGAAGUUGAUCCUGUCACGGUGUUUUAGCAUGUGGCUAUCUCCACCACCUGCUGCCCUGAGGAGAAGAGACAGGUCAGGUGGAUACAGAACCCCGGGGAACCACCAAGAUGAAAAGAAAGAGGUCCGGCUUGGAAGGGGCGUCGAGGAAGGGUGGUCCACAGUGGCUUAUGGAGCUGACUCUCCCAGAUCCCAUUUCUCAUGGUUGUCCAUCCUGUUCUCAUAACAGGAGUGCCUUUGGAGUAACAUGAGGUGAUUUCAGUGACCCGAAAGGAGCACAGCAUUCCAGGUUCUGCCUCGAAUGACAAAGUCCACCCACCAGAACUCAUUCCUCUCCAUGCUGGGCCUCCAAGCUGGCCUUCAUAAAGGCAGCAAUCCCGAAGGAAGCAAUGAGCUGGUCGUGGAGUUCUGCACCUCGUGCCGUGCCAGCAGAGCAAGACCUGGGAAUUCCCAGUCUGCCGCUUCCCCUGCAAGAAGCUCGGUCCAGACAGCAUCAAACUCUCUAGAGGAAGGCCCACUGGUGAUCCAGGAGAGGAGAAGGUGGAGGAGCGACUUAGGAGAUUUGCACUUGUGGCGGCAGGCUCUCUGGAAUAGCUGAACCUGCCAGGCUUCCCCAUCACCAUGUUCCCUCAACAGCCAGCUGCGUUCCUGCUCGACCACACAGUGGUCAGCAGGUCUAGGCUUCGGAAAAACCUUACAGUUUGUCGCCCCCUGUCGGGUCCGGUCCCGGCUUGGCUGCGCAGGUUCCAGCGCAGCUGGCUGGAUGAGGUGGCGCAAAGGUUGGAGUGCAGAAGGCAAAGUGUCUCUUCAACUUUCUGGGUUGCGGCUUGGUUAUCUCCACCGCUCUGGAGCAGCUAAUGGUCCAUGAGGCGCACGCAAAGGUAAGAAAGCUCGUAUACCCCACGUUUGGUUUGAUAAAAUAGUAUUGCAGGCGCUAAGCCCGGCGUGCAACCAAGUGAGCGAGUAGUGGUUUCCAGGAACGUGGAAGUUCCCGGGCCGGAGAACCUCACACAGCGAAAGCCUGGUCCGCCCUGUGCUGAAAGCUCACAGGGCCAGAGGACUAAGGUGAGGGUCUCUAAGGGUCCCUGGCUCAGGUAUCCCAGGGCAGAGAAAGAAGGUGAGGCAAGCUUCAUAGGCGUUGGAAGUUAAAGAGGAGGCUAAAAGAGGAGCGAGUCUUUCUGGGGACUGGAGGCUGGGAGCGGAGAAAGUCGCUAAGAAAUAUUCUGCCCGUUUGUCACCAGAGCCGUGAAUGGAGGACCCUAAUGUUCAGGCUGAAUGAGUCAAUCUCCAGCUUCACUUCUCUGCACCAUCUUGAUUUUUGAUGGGAUGGUGCGGGGAAGUUAUUUGGGUGCAAACGAAGCGUGCAACGGGCUGACUGUUCCCCGGGACUCACACAUUUCAGGUCUCCAGCAGUAAACUAAACAAGCAGAUGCAAGUUCCAUUCUGGACCCGCAGGUGCGCGGCUUGAUUCUGCCGGGAAGGAACCCAGAGUAGGAGCAAACACGCCGCUUUCGCAGAGCAGCUCUGAAGUAGCCUGCGUCGGUUUUCCAGCAGCCUCGGCUGCUAGUCUGGGACUGGGUAGAACAGGGUUUCGCUGC
rnacentral:lncRNA from 1 species